AUGGACGCGGGGAGCGCCGGCGACGGCGAGGCGGGGCGGCAGGAGGGGACGCCUCCCUCCGGCGCGCCGACGGGCCCCGCGGCGCCGUUCGGCAGGUCGUCGUCGUCGUCGGGUCUCGGCGCGAAGGGCGGCGCAGCACCCCAGAGCUUCGACGGCGCGCUCAGAGAGCUCAAGGAUCUGCAGUCGCAGUUGCACCAGGCGGCGGACUGCUGCGAGAAGGCGUUCCUCGCCACCGAGGAGAAGAGGCUAAUCCUGGACAGUACAAAGAGCUACAUCUGCAACGCGGUAGUGGCAGUGAUUGAUCAUCUGGGGACCGUUUCAUCCAAGCUUGAGCACCAGCUGGAGGACAAGACUGAGAUCAUGCAAACAGAGCAGAAGAUCAGCUUCCUGAAGCAGAGGCUCUUGACAUGCGAACAGUAUGCAAUUUCUCUCCAACUAUUGGCCGUUCGUGCGGACGCUGGCGCCGUUCAAUAUCAUCGCCGUUACCUUUCCCAAUCUACUGAAAGAAACAACCAGGAAAAUGUUGCCAAGUCAAGCAGAGAUGACCCAGAAGAACCCCUCAAGCUCAAUAGCACAGUGGCGCCAGGAGCUACUCGCACUCUGAAGCCAUAUGAUGCUGAAUCAACCAUCGGGAGGGAGCAUGCCGUGGCGGGUGCAGACGGUGGAAACCCAGCAUCCACAGCGAGGUCAUUUUCCUUCAGAGCAGAGGAUGUUCACGUUGCUGCAGGGGGUCAUCACAAGAAGAAGAAAGGCAGCCAUGGCAGCAACAUCAUGUCAUUUCUCAAAAGAAGCAAGCGACAUGCGUAA
rnacentral:rRNA from 1 species